rnacentral:rRNA from 1 species
GAUGAACGCUGGCGGCGUGCCUAAUACAUGCAAGUCGAGCGAACGGACGAGAAGCUUGCUUCUCUGAUGUUAGCGGCGGACGGGUGAAUAACACGUGGAUAACCUACCUAUAAGACUGGGAUAACUUCGGGAAACCGGAGCUAAUACCGGAUAAUAUUUUGAACCGCAUGGUUCAAAAGUGAAAGACGGUCUUGCUGUCACUUAUAGAUGGAUCCGCGCUGCAUUAGCUAGUUGGUAAGGUAACGGCUUACCAAGGCAACGAUGCAUAGCCGACCUGAGAGGGUGAUCGGCCACACUGGAACUGAGACACGGUCCAGACUCCUACGGGAGGCAGCAGUAGGGAAUCUUCCGCAAUGGGCGAAAGCCUGACGGAGCAACGCCGCGUGAGUGAUGAAGGUCUUCGGAUCGUAAAACUCUGUUAUUAGGGAAGAAUAUAUGUGUAAGUAACUGUGCACAUCUUGACGGUACCUAAUCAGAAAGCCACGGCUAACUACGUG